AACGCGAAGAACCUUACCUACCCUUGACAUCCUGCGAAGUUUGAAGAGAUUCAGACGUGCCGAAAGGAACGCAGAGACAGGUGCUGCAUGGCUGUCGUCAGCUCGUGUUGUGAGAUGUUGGGUUAAGUCCCGUAACGAGCGCAACCCUUGUCCUUAGUUGCCAGCAUUUAGUUGGGGACUCUAAGGAGACUGCCGGUGAGGAACCGGAGGAAGGCGGGGACGACGUCAAGUCAUCAUGGCCUUUAUGGGUAGGGCUACACACGUGCUACAAUGGGGCGUACAGAGGGUCGCGAACCCGCGAGGGGGAGCCAAUCUCAUAAAGCGUCUCGUAGUCCGGAUUGGAGUCUGCAACUCGACUCCAUGAAGUUGGAAUCGCUAGUAAUCGCGAAUCAGCAUUGUCGCGGUGAAUACGUUCCCGGGCCUUGUACACACCGAUAGC
rnacentral:rRNA from 1 species